rnacentral:rRNA from 1 species
UGGGGAAUUUUGGGCAAUGGGCGAAAGCCUGACCCAGCAACGCCGCGUGAAGGACGAAAUCCCUCUGGGAUGUAAACUUCGAAAGUCGGGAAAGAAAUCGCACACGAGAAUACCGUGUGUGGAUGACGGUACCCGACGUAAGCCCCGGCUAACUACGUGCCAGCAGCCGCGGUAAUACGUAGGGGGCAAGCGUUGUUCGGAAUUACUGGGCGUAAAGGGCGCGUAGGCGGCACAGCAAGUCGGGAGUGAAAGCCCGGGGCUCAACCCCGGAACUGCUUUCGAAACUGCUGAGCUAGAGUACAGAAGGGGCAACCGGAAUUCCCAGUGUAGCGGUGAAAUGCGUAGAUAUUGGGAAGAACACCUGAGGCGAAGGCGGGUUACUGGGCUGAUACUGACGCUGAGGCGCGAAAGCCAGGGGAGCAAA